rnacentral:rRNA from 1 species
AAAGCUCGUAGUUGGAUCUCAGGGUGAGCUCUGUCGGUCGGCCUAAUUGGUCAGAACUGGCUGACUCUCCCUUGUUUCUGAAUCCGUUCCGGAGUUAAUUCCUCGGUUCUGGACUUCAGAUCGUUUACCUUGAAAAAAUUAGAGUGUUCAAAGCGGGCGUUUGCUUGAAUACAUUAGCAUGGAAUAAUGGAAUAGGACCCUGGUUCUAUUUUGUUGGUUUUGAGGACCAGAGUAAUGAUUAAUAGGGAUAGUUGGGGGCAUUCAUAUUUAAUUGUCAGAGGUGAAAUUCUUGGAUUUAUGAAAGAUGAACUUCUGCGAAAGCAUUUGCCAAGGAUGUUUUCAUCAAUCAAGAACGAAAGUUAGGGGAUCGAAGACGAUCAGAUACCGUCGUAGUCUUAACCAUAAACUAUGCCGACUAGGGAUUGGAAGCGGUUUGUUCAUUGACCCUCUCAGCACCUUACGAGAAAUCAAAGUUUUUGGGUUCCGGGGGGAGUAUGGUCGCAAGGCUGAAACUUAAAGGAAUUGACGGAGGGGCACCACCAGGAGUGGAGCCUGCGGCUUAAUUUGACUCAACACGGGAAAACUUACCAGGUCCAGACAU